rnacentral:rRNA from 1 species
GCUGGGGGAUUAGUGGCGAACGGGUGAGUAACACGUGAGUAACCUGCCCUUGACUCUGGGAUAAGCCUGGGAAACUGGGUCUAAUACCGGAUACGACCAUCUGGCGCAUGUCAUGGUGGUGGAAAGCUUUUGUGGUUUUGGAUGGACUCGCGGCCUAUCAGCUUGUUGGUGGGGUAAUGGCCUACCAAGGCGACGACGGGUAGCCGGCCUGAGAGGGUGACCGGCCACACUGGGACUGAGACACGGCCCAGACUCCUACGGGAGGCAGCAGUGGGGAAUAUUGCACAAUGGGCGCAAGCCUGAUGCAGCGACGCCGCGUGAGGGAUGACGGCCUUCGGGUUGUAAACCUCUUUCAGUAGGGAAGAAGCGAAAGUGACGGUACCUGCAGAAGAAGCGCCGGCUAACUACGUGCCAGCAGCCGCGGUAAUACGUAGGGCGCAAGCGUUAUCCGGAAUUAUUGGGCGUAAAGAGCUCGUAGGCGGUUUGUCGCGUCUGCUGUGAAAGACCGGGGCUCAACUCCGGUUCUGCAGUGGGUACGGGCAGACUAGAGUGCAGUAGGGGAGACUGGAAUUCCUGGUGUAGCGGUGAAAUGCGCAGAUAUCAGGAGGAACACCGAUGGCGAAGGCAGGUCUCUGGGCUGUAACUGACGCUGAGGAGCGAAAGCAUGGGGAGCGAACAGGAUUAGAUACCCUGGUAGUCCAUGCCGUAAACGUUGGGCACUAGGUGUGGGGGACAUUCCACGUUUUCCGCGCCGUAGCUAACG